UUUAUUACUGGGGCCAAGGAACCAUGGUGACCGUCUCUUCAGCAAACCCCUCAGCUCCAAACCUCUUCCCACUUGUCUCCUGUGGAAGCAUCCUGCCCGAGCAAAACACGGUGGCCAUGGGUUGCCUUGCACGUGACUUCCUGCCCAGCUCCAUCACCUUCAGCUGGAGAUACAAGAACAACACUGGCGUCAACUCCCAGAAAUGGAAGGCCUUCCCAUCCGUCAUGCAGGAGGGAACAUAUUUGGCCAGUUCUCAGUUGCUUCUUCCUUCUGAAGAUGUCCUCCAGAGCUCUGAUGAGUACCUGGUGUGUGCAGCCACACAUCCCCAAGGCAACAAGGAAGUACAGGUGGCCUAUCAAGCGCCCGUGGAAGAGAAGUCCCCCAAUGUGAAUGUGUAUGUCCCAUCCCGAGAGUCCUUCUCAGACACCAGCAAGCGGACCUCCAAGCUCAUCUGCCAGGCCACAGGCUUCAGUCCCAAGAAGAUCUCACUGUCCUGGAUCCGAGAGGGGAAGCCAGUGCAGUCUGGCAUCAACACAAAAUGGAAGGCCUUCCCAUCCGUCAUGCAGGAGGGAACAUAUUUGGCCAGUUCUCAGUUGCUUCUUCCUUCUGAAGAUGUCCUCCAGAGCUCUGAUGAGUACCUGGUGUGUGCAGCCACACAUCCCCAAGGCAACAAGGAAGUACAGGUGGCCUAUCAAGCGCCCGUGGAAGAGAAGUCCCCCAAUGUGAAUGUGUAUGUCCCAUCCCGAGAGUCCUUCUCAGACACCAGCAAGCGGACCUCCAAGCUCAUCUGCCAGGCCACAGGCUUCAGUCCCAAGAAGAUCUCACUGUCCUGGAUCCGAGAGGGGAAGCCAGUGCAGUCUGGCAUCAACACAGGCGAGGUGGAGCCGGAGCCCAAAGGGUCUGGGUCAUUAACCUACCAGAUCACCAGCACAAUGACCAUCAGCGAGAGCGACUGGCUCAGCCAGCGUGUGUUCACUUGCCACGUGAUACACAGGGGGCUGGACUUUAUGAAGAAUGUGUCCUCUGUGUGCGGACCCAGCUCACCAUCAGGCAUGCGGAUCUUCACCAUCCCCCCGUCCUUUGAGGACAUCUUCAUUACCAAGUCUGCCAAGUUGACCUGCCUAGUCACAGACCUGGCCACCUAUGACAGCCUGAGCAUCACUUGGACACGUCAGAAUGGCAAGGUUCUGAAGACCCACACCAACAUCUCUGAGAGCUAUCCCAAUGCCACCUUUAGUGCCCAGGGCGAGACCAAUGUCUAUGUGGAUGACUGGGAGACCGGAGAGAAGUUCACUUGCACCGUCACCCACACCGACCUCCCCUCACCGCUGAAAAAGUCCAUCUUCAAGCCUGAGAAUGGAGUCAAGCGGGCACCAUCUGUCUACCUGAUGACACCGACCCGGGAGGAGCUGAGCCUGCGUGAAUCUGCCUCCCUCACCUGUCUGGUCAAGGGCUUCUCCCCUGCAGAUGCAUUUGUGAGGUGGAUGCACAAGGGACAGCCUGUGUCCCGCCAUCAGUACAUCACCAGUGCCCCGAUCCUGGAACCCCAGGCCGUGGACUCCUACUUCCUCUCCAGCAUCCUCACACUUCAGGGGGUGAAGGGCGAGUCCCACCAAGACUCGGACUGGUGCUCCACCUCUGAGUCCCGGGCACAGGAGUCCAAGGCGCUUCAUCAGCAAUGUCCCUUUUGA